GAAUUCCCCAAUCGGACUCUCCUCUUCUUGCCGGAUCUCCCCACCCCAUUCCACCCCGCCCAUGGGUGCCCCCACCCCUCGCCGCUGACCUGUGGGUACACUGCCCCCUGCUCCCCCGCCCCGCUCCCGCUCGCCCACGCGAACCCUAGGCAGCUAGGCUUUGCUGCUAGAAGAGCUCCAGCGACCGACGAGGAGAGGAGAAUAAAGCUCAAAUCUUGGAUGCGCCCGAACCGAUGGCGACACCUGCCGCAGAGAAGCCGGAAGAUGUAGAGAUCCGUGAGGUUUGGGCGGACAACCUCGAGACAGAGUUCGCCGUGAUCCGCGACAUCGUCGACGACUAUCCGUAUGUGGCUAUGGACACUGAGUUUCCGGGCGUUGUGUGUCGUCCGCUCGGCACUUACAAGUCGGCGGCCGAGUUCAACUACGCCACUCUUAAAGCUAACGUGGACAUGCUGAAGCUUAUUCAGCUCGGGCUCACCUUGUCCGACGAGCAUGGUGGGCUGCCGGCGCUAGGCCCAGACGGUCGUCCCUGCGUCUGGCAGUUCAACUUUCGAGGAUUUGACCCUCGGACUGAUGUGGCUGCAGCGGACUCCAUCGAUCUUCUACGCCGUAGUGGUAUUGACUUCUCUCGCCAUGCUGCUGAUGGAGUCGACUCUCGCUGCUUUGCUGAACUGCUCAUGUCCUCCGGCGUAGUAUUGAAUUCAGAUGUGCAUUGGGUGACUUUUCAUAGCGGCUACGACUUUGGCUACCUGCUCAAGCUACUCACUGGCACAAAUCUCCCUGAUACGCUGCCAGGAUUCUUCGAUCUCAUCAAGAUUUACUUUCCUGUUAUCUACGAUAUAAAACACUUGAUGAGGUUCUCCAAUAGCCUCCAUGGAGGGCUGAACAAGCUUGCUGAGCUGCUUGAUGUUGCAAGGGUUGGAAUCUGCCACCAGGCAGGGUCUGAUUCGCUUCUGACAGCACUGUCUUUCAAGAAGCUUAAAGAGGCAUACUUCAACGGAUUAACUGAGAAAUAUGCUGGUGUGUUGUAUGGGCUUGGCUUUGAGGGUGUAGAGACCACCUCUGCUCACUGAGUAAUGGAUAAUUAAAUAAAAGAUGAACUAUUUAUGAAAAUGGAGAAAUCUGUUUGGUGUCUUUGUCUGACAAUUUCCUGUUGCUUGCGCUGGUGAAGAUUGUGGCUUGAUGGAAUGUGCUGUUGAAGUUUCUUUGAGGCCUGUAUUGAUACACUGAUCACCAAGUCACCAACUGAAGACUCAAACAUUAUCGAACUCUGUAAUGCUAUGGUAAUCAAGUACUCUACAACAAGUCAUCAACUGCUGUGCUAAAUGUUAUUUGGUAGCAAAAAGAACACUUAACUUGCCCUUUGAUAUGUGAAACUGAAACCCCUCAGUUCUUGUUUUACAUGGUUUCUGGUGCUACCCCUUGAAUAGUUGAUGAUUUUAGGCACUAUUCUGAUUUCUAUACCAACCUAUAAAAGCAAGACAAUAUGCUGGACUUCUGAUUGUAAUAUGUUAUAGUGUCUAUGUAGUUUUGUAGUUCCUUAAACUCAAGCAACAUAUGCCAUUAUCAGUUUUGC